CGCGGGGAAGGGGAGGAGACACACACACACACACACACACACACACAUCCAUUAGCUCCGUUCCUCCGUUUGCGAGUAACCUGCGGGAGGAGGCGAGCGCGAUCAGACCUCCAGGUGUGUGUAGAUGUGUGUGUGUGUGUGCUCCAGUCACACCUGGAUGCAUCAUGUGAUCAGAUACCUGGGCGUGGAGCAAGCGUUCAGUGUGUUAAUCGGUAACGGGAAUCCCGAAACCGCAGAUCUCUCGUCGCUCCGCGCGUGAGUGACAUGUGAACUUUCCGUGCACCGGGAAUCUAUCUAUUCCUCUCGAUCUAAAGGGAAUCCGUGGUGUGGACGCUGCAACCACUGCCGAGUGCUGCUGUCUCCUGAGGUGCUGCCCCAUUACCUGAGGGUAUCUGUGAGCUCUCCGGACUGACGAUUAGAGGCAUUAGUCUCAUGGCACGGCGGAUCUUACACGGGCUCAGGGAUAUCAGAGAAGUUUCCUGCACGGCUUAAUGAGAUUUUCCCACUCAUCUUCCUCUGGGGCGGCAGACUGUAAGGUAGGAAUAUGGUUGUUUUCAGAUGUGCUCUUCAUCUUAUAGGCAGAUGAGCCUUGGCUUGGUGGCCGUCCAGUGUUUCUAGUUGAAAUGGGUAUGCAGCACUUGGUUAGGUUCCAGCAUGUCCUUUAUUCAUCCUGACACACAUCAGGCUUCUGGUUUCCAGCGGGAAGAGCUUCUGGAAGGAAAAUGAGAAUGUGUCUGAUUGCUUCAAAUGUUUAUCGUUUCCCCUCCUCUCAUUCAAUCAUCCUUACUGGCUCUCUCAGCGUUGAGCUGUGGGUUUGAUUAGUCAGCCUAGUGGAGGAUGACAGCAUGCUAAACCGCCUUUCUAAAGUGACUGAAAUCAGGUUUCUUCCUUAAGAGGACCCUAUUUGCUUUCUUUUUUGUUCAUGUCUUUGGUCUUGUUGUACAUUAUUUAUCAGGUUCUCUGAUUUCUAAACUAGAAAUGACCAUCAGCCUCUGAAAUGACUUUUUUACCCAUUGACAUGAAUCAAGCUGACACAUGUGGGGAAAUAAUCGUAAUCAUUAAUAUCAAAACCUUGAAAUCCAAGAGCCAAUCAAAUCUUAUGUGGGUGGGUCUUGGUUUAGUUAUGAUUUAAUAAUGAUUUACCCUGAAACAUGCCACACAUGCUUCAUUAAAUGUGUUUACGUCUUGAUUGUGGUGAAUUUCCGAGUGAAAUGGAAUGUAUGGUGGGACUUUAUUUUAUGUACUGCUAACUGUUUUGGGUUAUGAAAAGUGGCUUAUACAUAGUAGUUUUAAGCCAGAAGUUUUUA